UUCUCCAAAUAAACUGAAAACAAAACUACUUUAAAAAAAGGAAAAAGAAAAAUGUCCACAAUAAGUGAAAAAUGUUAAAUGUGGUAUGAGGUAUGGUUACAUUUUUGUAAUGAUUGGGUAAAUCACUGAAAGAGAAAUGCAAAAGAAGGUUUAGGUUCACUGUAUUGAGGCAAGGGAAAUAUAAUAAUGGCUUUUGUUUCCUAUUUUCCUCUUUGUUACAUUUUCUAAAUUUUCCAGCAUAAACAUGCUUUACUUACAUAAUAAAAAACAGAAAAUAAGUGACGUUGAAAGGAAAGACAGCAAAAAUAAAGUUCCAGUCUACAUAAAUAGCAGCAGCCUGUUUCCCAGGCUUCACCAGGCAAGGGGACAUCUUCUUGGUGUCACAGGGUGCACCCCUUUCAGCACACUCCCUAUUUUUACCACAUUCCAGUAAAACCAAAACAUGGCCAAGGCGGAGAGGGUAGUACCCAGGGCCACGUUUCUUAAAAAAGUAUUAAUGUUGGUCCCCACUGUGACCUACAUAGUUUCUCUUUACAUUAAAAUUUUUUUUUCAAUAAUCCACUUCAUUCCUUCCAAAGCACAGUGCCCCAUUUCUAUCUAGAUUACAAAAUGUGUUCAGGGAAGAGGUUUUCUGACUUAGUAGUCGGACACUUGUAGUGUCUCCUACCUCGAUCACAUUGCCCUGGUUUUAGUCUUAGCCAAGAUGGACAUUUCUGGUAAUGCUGACAGCUCCCGCUUCAUUCAUCAAAUGCAUACCUCUCUGCUUUUCUGCCUCCAAAGUAGGUAGCAGAAGGUAACGCCCCUGGGGACAACCUUCAACAAUGAGGGAUCAGUGGAUAAAUGCCCCAGUUUCUGGGUCCCAGCAUGCCGGCAGAGAUGAACACCAGUUGCCCAGAGAGGCCAUCUUUCUUGGCUCUUUCUCCUUCCCUUCUUCCCCUCUUCCUUCUCUCCCUCUUCCUGGAAACCUCCUCCCAAAUUAACUUCCUGCACCCAAAAUCUUGUUUCAGAUUCUGCUUCAGAGGAACUCAAACUGAGAGAGCUCAUAAGCAAAUAUAAAACCAAUAAAAAGAAUUAUACCACAGAGCCCCAGAAAGCUCUCAAAGAUGCUGUGAAACAGAGUUCAUCCGUUUCUAGAAUACAUUCCCUCAUCGUACAUCUAUUUAGUAGGCUUCUACAUUGGGCCACACACACGCUAGGUGCAAAAUGAACUGCAGAAACACAGUCUAUACCCGUGGAAGACACAAGAUGCUCAACAGUCACCAAGCCCACUAUACUAUGAGAGUAUAGGAAAAUAUAAGAAAGAUUAAUAUUGGGGAGGAAAAACGAUCUUCCUCUUUCUGAAUUUUUAGCAGAGACCCCUGUAGUGAAAGAUUAACAGGAGAAAAACCAGCAGAAUUUAUUAACAGGUAUACCGCAUGCAAACGUGGGAGGUACCCAGGGAAAAACGAGUCACUCGAAGAAGUAGCUUAGAAUUCAGGCUUAGAUAUCAUCUUAGUAGGGAAAGGGGCGGAGCAUGGAGGCUCCUCCAGGAACAGCAAAUAAUUUGUAGGAAACAUGAAUGGGUGCUUAGAAGGUAUGAGGUAGUCUCACAAGGAGGUAUGAGAGUUUGUGACAAAGUCUAUAUGGGUGUGGUGUUGACCUCCAGUCUCCUCUGCAUUCUCUGCAGUGGUGAAGACCAUCUUCCCUGGUUGGUGAAACUCCCAGGGAAGCACCUAUGCCAGCUGGAAUUUUCAAGAGAACUUGUCUUAAGGCAGUGUGGUCUUGGCUCAUGUACCUGCUAGGGACUACUACGUACAUGUGACAGAACCCUGAUCCAGCAAACCGAAGUUAAUAUGAAAGGAAGAAAGAAACAUGGUUCCUGGCCAGCAGUUUCAUACAUGCGUGGGGCUGUUUCCAAGAGGCAGUGGAGUAAAGAUGAAGGUAAACCCGACAAGAACAUCCGGGAGCCUGGAGGAAUGCCGUCA